GGGACAGUAACUCCAUUGUGCAUGUUUAUCAUGGCCAUGUUUUGGUGGCUGCAUGAGCACAGAACAAAAGGCCAAGUGAUGGCCAUUAUGUGGAUGACUUGGGGGCAGAAAAGGUUAGCAUAAGUGCUGGCCAAAGAGAAUUUUUUAAGAAGAGUAUUUUUGGCCAUUCUGUGUGCAUUUUUCAGGGUAGUAGAGAGAUGCAUUAAAGAGGGCAUUAUGCUGUGCAUUUC
rnacentral:misc_RNA from 1 species